GACGAACGCUGGCGGCGUGCUUAACACAUGCAAGUCGAACGGAAAGGCCCGGCUUUUGUGGGGUGCUCAAGUGCCGAACGGGGGAGUAACACGUGAGUAGCCUGCCCUUGACUUUGGGAGAACUUCAUGAAACUGGGGCUAUUACCGCAUAUGAGCUCCUUCUGCAUGGGGGGGGUUGGAGAAUUUCGCCGGUGGGGGAUGGACGCGUGGUCUAUCGUCUUGUUGGUGGGGUGGUGGAGUACAAAGGCUCUGACGCGUAGCCGCACUGAGAGGGUGACAGGCCACAUUGGGCUUGAGAUGCGGCCCGGACUGCUACGGGAGGAAGGAGUGGGGAUUAUUGCAAACUGGGCGGAAGCAUGAUGGAGCAACGCCGCGUGCGGGAUGACUGCCUUCGGGUUGUAACCCGGUUUCGCCUGUGACGCAGAGUGAGUGACGGUAAUGGGUAAAGAAGCAACGGCUAACUACGUG
rnacentral:rRNA from 1 species